rnacentral:rRNA from 1 species
UACGAAGGGGGCUAGCGUUGUUCGGAUUUACUGGGCGUAAAGCGCACGUAGGCGGAUCGUUAAGUGAGGGGUGAAAUCCCAGGGCUCAACCCUGGAACUGCCUUUCAUACUGGCGAUCUUGAGUCCGGAAGAGGUAAGUGGAACUCCUAGUGUAGAGGUGGAAUUCGUAGAUAUUAGGAAGAACACCAGUGGCGAAGGCGGCUUACUGGUCCGGUACUGACGCUGAGGUGCGAAAGCGUGGGGAGCGAACAGG